CAAUAGCGUAUAUUUAAGUUGUUGCAGUUAAAAAGCUCGUAGUUGGAUUUCGGUUAAGAGCGACCGGUCCGCCGUUUGGUGUGCACUGGUUGGUUUUAACUUCCUGUAGAGGACGUGCUCUGGGUUUAACGACCUGGACUCGGAGUCUACGUGGUUACUUUGAAAAAAUUAGAGUGUUCAAAGCGGGCUUACGCUUGAAUAUUUCAGCAUGGAAUAACACUAUAGGACUCCUGUCCUAUUUCGUUGGUCUCGGGACGGGGGUAAUGAUUAAGAGGAACAGUUGGGGGCAUUCGUAUUUCAUUGUCAGAGGUGAAAUUCUUGGAUUUAUGAAAGACGAACUUCUGCGAAAGCAUUUGCCAAGGAUGUUUNCAUUA
rnacentral:rRNA from 1 species